AGAGUUUGAUCCUGGCUCAGGACAAACGCUGGCGGCGUGCUUAAUACCGCAUAUUCUGUGAGCAGGAAAGCAGGGGACCGCAAGGCCUUGCGCUCUUUGAGAGGCCGAUGUCAGAUUAGCUAGUUGGUGAGGUAAAGGCUUACCAAGGCGACGAUCUGUAGCGGGUCUGAGAGGAUGAUCCGCCACACUGGAACUGAGACACGGUCCAGACUCCUACGGGAGGCAGCAGUGGGGAAUUUUGGACAAUGGGCGCAAGCCUGAUCCAGCCAUGCCGCGUGAGUGAAGAAGGCCUUCGGGUUGUAAAGCUCUUUCGGCCGGGAAGAAAUCGCAUGGGUUAAUACCCUGUGUGGAUGACGGUACCGGAAUAAGAAGCACCGGCUAACUACGUG
rnacentral:rRNA from 1 species